AAAUUCUUCAGACAUAUAAUUUCAAUAAAUCACUUGACGUUCUUCGUACGGAUUUCUUCAACAGUACUUGCUAUUUACCUUGCUUUCUUAUCAGAGUUGAGUUGGUACCUCUUUAAUUACAAAUAGGCUAAACAUAUGCCUUUCACAUCUUCAAUGUGAUAGGUAUAUCGAGGGGUACUAGAGGGCUGGUCAAAAACAUCUUCUGCAGUAUUAUCAGGUGUGGCAUCUGUCAAACUGGCUACAUUACAAUCUUGCUUGCUCUGCGCUACCUCUGCUUCACCGACCUUUGUUUCUCUUGAUGGCGAGGCUGCUGAUAUAGAGAGUUAAUCACUUGAUCUUAUAUUUUUCCAAGAAUCCAUCUCCUUCUCCUUUGCUUUUGUUAGUGUAGAUAUAUUAGCUAUGAGAAUAUGCAGAAAUUAGGUUAGAUUAGAAAAUCAUAAUGUACAGCAUACACCUUGUAUAAGUAUCUGAAACGAAGAAUUUCUUCACGAGGCUGAACCAGCUCUGUUUUGCCAUAGAACCGUCACUUGGCAUUAAACUAAUGACAAUCUCGAAAUUAUAUACACCAUUUGUGAAAACAAGUAAACAAUAAACGAGUGUUAAGAAUGUAGAAAUGCAUAUACAAACAUGAAAAAUGCAGAUAAGCAAAUACACACGAAGAAACCCCCAAUUAACAUGCAAAUUGAACCCUAAUCGACACCCAAUUAAACCCCCAAUCAACCCCCAAUUAAAGAAAGCCGAAUUAACAAUUUAAAAUUAGGGUUUUAAAACCCCCAAAUUAACAAGAUGAAUUUAGACAGAUACCUCAUAAUGUUAUAGUCAGACCAAAUUCAGGCUAUGCGGAGAAAGCUACUGAGCCUUGAGACAAGAACUAAAACUCCGAGACAAGCUCCUGCUAUAAAAUCGUCGGACCCUUUCCUUGUAUAAGCACCAAGAUAAGCUCCGAGACAAGUUUUGAGAGAUGAAAGAGUGAGAUGGGAGAGAUGAAAGGAAUGAAAGAAUGAGAUGGGAGAGAUGAAUGAGAGAUCUGAAAUUUGAGAGAUGGGAGAUAGAGAGUGAGAGAGAGAUGCGAGAUAGAGUGAGAGUAGUGAGCCGAGAGAAUUAGUUUUAGUUUUAAUUUAAUUGUUCUAUUUUAAUCUCUGUUAGUGAUGGAAAGGGCAAUUACCUAAUUUAUUUUUAAAAAAUUUAGAGUUAAAAAGGCGGGUUUUUUCCCUCCUAUUCAUUUUAACACAUCUUUAAGGUAACAUCGCACAAGAUGUUAGCAUUGAGGGUUUGUUUUAGUUAUGGCAACAUUUUAUAUUGUUAAUGGCAACACCUAAAUGUGAUGUUGGCAUAAACCUGCUUCAAUCAAAUUUUAAGCUCUAAGGCAACAUUUUAGGUGGCAACAUCAGUUUGUGAUGUUA
rnacentral:lncRNA from 1 species